rnacentral:rRNA from 1 species
UAACACGUAGGGGGCAAGCGUUGUCCGGAUUUAUUGGGCGUAAAGAGCUCGUAGGUGGUUCGGUAAGUCGGGUGUUAAACCCCCAGGCUCAACCUGGGGACGCCACUCGAUACUGCUGUGACUAGAGUCCGGUAGGGGAGCGUGGAAUUCCUGGUGUAGCGGUGAAAUGCGCAGAUAUCAGGAGGAACACCAGCGGCGAAGGCGGCGCUCUGGGCCGGUACUGACACUGAGGAGCGAAAGCGUGGGUAGCAAACAGGAUUAGAUACCCUGGUAGUCCACGCCGUAAACGUUGGGCACUAGGUGUGGGGUCUCUUCAACGGACUCCGUGCCGUAGCUAACGCAUUAAGUGCCCCGCCUGGGGAGUACGGCCGCAAGGCUA